rnacentral:rRNA from 1 species
AGAGUUUGAUCAUGGCUCAGAUUGAACGCUGGCGGCAGGCUUAACACAUGCAAGUCGAACGGUAACAGGGAGGAGCUUGCUUCUUUGCUGACGAGUGGCGGACGGGUGAGUAAUACUUGGGAAUCUGGCUUAUGGAGGGGGAUAACUACGGGAAACUGUAGCUAAUACCGCGUAAUAUCUUCGGAUUAAAGGGUGGGACUUUCGGGCCACCUGCCAUAAGAUGAGCCCAAGUGGGAUUAGGUAGUUGGUGGGGUAAAGGCCUACCAAGCCGACGAUCUCUAGCUGGUCUGAGAGGAUGACCAGCCACACUGGAACUGAGACACGGUCCAGACUCCUACGGGAGGCAGCAGUGGGGAAUAUUGCACAAUGGGGGGAACCCUGAUGCAGCCAUGCCGCGUGAAUGAAGAAGGCCUUCGGGUUGUAAAGUUCUUUCGGUGAUGAGGAAGGUGUUUGUUUUAAUAGAGCAAGCAAUUGACGUUAGUCACAGAAGAAGCACCGGCUAACUCCGUGCCAGCAGCCGCGGUAAUACGGAGGGUGCGAGCGUUAAUCGGAAUGACUGGGCGUAAAGGGCACGCAGGCGGUGACUUAAGUGAGAUGUGAAAGCCCCGAGCUUAACUUGGGAAUUGCAUUUCAUACUGGGUCGCUAGAGUAUUUUAGGGAGGGGUAGAAUUCCACGUGUAGCGGUGAAAUGCGUAGAGAUGUGGAGGAAUACCGAAGGCGAAGGCAGCCCCUUGGGAAUAUACUGACGCUCAUGUGCGAAAGCGUGGGGAGCAAACAGGAUUAGAUACCCUGGUAGUCCACGCUGUAAACGCUGUCGAUUUGGGGAUUGGGCUUAGAGCUUGGUGCCCGUAGCU